UUUUAUUUGAGAGUUUGAUCCUGGCUCAGGAUGAACGCUGGCGGCGUGCCUAACACAUGCAAGUUGAGCGAUUUACUUCGGUAAAGAGCGGCGGACGGGUGAGUAACGCGUGGGUAACCUACCCUGUACACACGGAUAACAUACCGAAAGGUAUGCUAAUACGGGAUAAUAUAUUUGAGAGGCAUCUCUUAAAUAUCAAAGGUGAGCCAGUACAGGAUGGACCCGCGUCUGAUUAGCUAGUUGGUAAGGUAACGGCUUACCAAGGCGACGAUCAGUAGCCGACCUGAGAGGGUGAUCGGCCACAUUGGAACUGAGACACGGUCCAAACUCCUACGGGAGGCAGCAGUGGGGAAUAUUGCACAAUGGGCGAAAGCAUGAUGCAGCAACGCCGCGUGAGUG
rnacentral:rRNA from 1 species